AAUGAUACUUAUUGCCAUUCACUGCCACCUGGGAAACCACAGCUCGAGACUUCCACAUCUGUCAAGCAGCUUUGGCAUUGUAAUGCAGACCCCUGAUCUCUUACAGUCGUAAAAUAUUUUACACACCCAAAGCAGAUAUUAGUCUCCUGCUCUGCUUCCAUAUUAUUCAGUAUACUCUGUACUUGCUUAAUAAUAUGAGUAAAAAGCUGCCACAGACUGCCUGCUAAAGCAAUGAAAUUUUAUUGUUUUGUUAUGAUUAGUUAAAACUGUUUGAUACAGUUGCAGCACAUUUAUAAGAGAAACACAUCUAAAAUGAAUGACCCCAUUUAAAAUACUCUACUCUUUAAUUUGUGCUGUGCUAUGUAAUCCAGCAACAGGAUAGAACCGAUGACCACAAAAUGUACACUGUGCUCCUGGAAAAUAACGAGACCUCCACGAAGCUGCAAGACACCUAACCGAACACUGCUCAAGACAAGAAACAGCGUAAGAUGCAGAAAGUUGUUGUACGAAGAGUGUAGGGGGAGGUAUAAUUUAAUUUUAGAGUGGAAAAUCCCAACCAUUAUUUUACAGUUUAAAUACCAAUAAAAACCAACUUGCUCAGAAUGCGGACCAGAUUGAGCUGAUCUGGCUGGGCCAAGAGAGGUCAUCAGUAGCUGUGUGCCAUCAUCAUCUGUUUUGCAUCCACUUACUGCAGCAAGCAAUGAGAUUCCGAAACUCAUUACCAGUAAAUAAACUUCUUGUGCUGACUAAAAAAUAUCUAUAAAUAAAAUAAAAAUAUAGCUCUCUCUAAAAUGUAUUUGCCAUAAAAACAGAUAAAACAAAAAGCUUAGUAAAAAAUAUACAGUAAAUAUGCCAGCGUCCAUAAAAUAUUAUAUAUCACAAGCUCUCUUUCUCUGCUCUAAUCCUAUUCUCCUACUCCAAAGACAGCAGUGCAUUUUUUUUUCCAUGGGGUCUUCCUUAUCCCCAAAACACAUCUGUCUUGAGUUUCUCUCAGAUUUGUCAGGUGGAUCAGUGCUCCCCAGGGCCUGCUCCAUCUGAAGUAUUUUAAUUUGACUAAACACCUGAUUUAUUUUAUCUCUCCGAUGAGAAAGGCAGUUUGUCUUAAUAGAGCCUGUCAGGCUACAGUCCCAUUCACAGCAAUUUACAGGCAGCCAGGGAUGCUGGAAAAGAAGAGUGCUGUGAUUCUGUAUUUUAUCCUCCUCCAGAAAGCACCUAAAA